GGAGGCGGUACUUCCUCCAGCAUUUGCCGCGAGUUAUUGGCAAGUUCCCCUGCAGUUGUUUGGGCUGUCGCUGUGGCUGGUUCUGCGGUGUGCGGCCAGCCAUGGAGCGCUCUGGGCCCAGCGAAGGUAAAAAAGCUCACACAUUUGACUUGGAAGCAAUGUUUGAACAAACUCAAAGAACAGCUGUGGAAAGAAGUCACAAAACACUGGACCAGAUUACAGAGGGGUAUUGAUUUGCCUUGCCCCCGCCCCCACCAUCACAGUGUGUCCCUGUCCAGUGUUGGUGCUGUGUGGCAUUGCUUGUGUCCAUAGGAGUCCAUCAAGGCAGAGCGGCAGAGCGGCAAGCAGAGCGGCAAGGCAGGUCAGCUUCCGGCUCUUCCAGGCUGCAUGUCCCCCUCAAUAUCCUUUCAACCCAAUGGAAAUGGAUUGAAAGAGUGAAAGUCACUGGUCUCAAAGAAUCUACGGAAUUUAGCAUUUUGAAAAUCACAGAGCAAUUUUGGGUAGGUAUUCACAUGCACUAAAAAACCAGGCAAACAUCUGACUCCCAGGAUAAAGUGACUGAGAGCAGUAGAAGACUUGUUGAGCCUUAAGGAAUAAGAGGAAAAUUAUGUUAUGAAGUGCAGGAACAGCACAGACCCAGACGAGGGGAUGCAGCCCGGAGCCAGUAACCCGGCGCCUCCUCCUCCCCAGGGCGCAGCGCUGGCUGCUCCCCGGAUACCGUGAUCACACGUCCCAGGUCCUGAGAGCGCCUCAUAGGUAGACAGUUCUUUGGGACUUUUGGGACGCAGCACUUGAAGAGAGGUUUACCUAAACUUUCCUCCUGGGAGCCUGUCAUCAUUUGAAAGUAACAGAAGAAAGCUGUCAGGCUGAGGAAAGUUUCAACAGGCACUUGGUGAGAAUGGGAAGCAUCCAUUCAUUGGGAAAUCACGGGGACAGAGGAGGAAUUCACGGGAUCAGAGCACUGAGAAACUCCAGAGGCUUCUGGUUCACCGCCCUGAUUCCACAGAUGUGGGUCAGAGGCAGAGAUGGAAGUUGGAAUGGACAAGCCUGCCCUCUCCUCAGCUCUCCAUGGCUCUGUCCUCAGGCUGUUUCUGCAAUUUGACAUGAGGCCUGGCCCCAGGGAAACCAGUGGGGCCUCAUCUCCUCCCUGUGCUGCUCUGAGGUGGAGCCUUCUCAGGGUCAGUCCAGCUCUGGAGCCCCUCUCCAGCUCGGUCACCAAAGCUGUCUGGUCCCAGGGCAGUGUGGAGUGACAGGCACGCCAGCCAAUCCAAUCGGCCAUUUCAUACCCAAUGCAUGUGACUGAUAAAGAGAUAACACCCUGUCUCCAAGACACAGGCUUUACAUAAACAGCUUUAAUGACUUCUUCACUUAGGGACAAGACUCCUUAGUGGUGGAACCUCAGGCAUCCAUGCAGGAUGUAAGAAAGCUCCCGUAUAUACAUGAACUGAGAAGUGUGUAGAAGAGUAAAUACUGUAAUAGGUAAUAAAAUGUAUGUAUUUUUAUUUAUGUGCUACUUUGUCUUUCUCCCUCUCUGUGUAUAUACACAUACAUACAAAAAUGUAUUCAUUCUAUGGAAAACAUGAAAGAUGUAAUAUUCUUUACAUAUUUAAUUAAUGUAUUUUUUCUGAUCAUAUGAACACCACAAAUAUAAUUUUAUAAUUUUUUUACCUAACAAUAAGUCUUAAACAUAAAUAUACAUGGACAAUAUCAUAGUUUUUUUUUUAAUCAUAAUUAAAAUGGUUGUGAAACA
rnacentral:lncRNA from 1 species